rnacentral:rRNA from 1 species
CGGUCUCAGUUCGGAUUGGGGUCUGCAACUCGACCCCAUGAAGUCGGAAUCGCUAGUAAUCGUGGAUCAGCAUGCCACGGUGAAUACGUUCCCGGGCCUUGUACACACCGCCCGUCACACCAUGGGAGUUGGCUUUACCCGAAGACUGUGUGCUAACUUUUGAGGCAGCAGGCCACGGUAAGGUCAGCGACUGGGGUGAAGUCGGAACAAGGUAGCCG